rnacentral:rRNA from 1 species
GACGAACGCUGGCGGCGUGCUUAACACAUGCAAGUCGAACGGAAAGGCCCUGCUUUUGUGGGGUGCUCGAGUGGCGAACGGGUGAGUAGCACGUGAGUAACCUGCCCUUGACUUUGGGAUAACUUCAGGAAACUGGGGCUAAUACCGGAUAGGAGCUCCUGCUGCAUGGUGGGGGUUGGAAAGUUUCGGCGGUUGGAGAUGGACUCGCGGCUUAUCAGCUUGUUGGUGGGGUAGUGGCUUACCAAGGCUUUGACGGGUAGCCGGCCUGAGAGGGUGACCGGCCACAUUGGGACUGAGAUACGGCCCAGACUCCUACGGGAGGCAGCAGUGGGGAAUAUUGCACAAUGGGCGGAAGCCUGAUGCAGCAACGCCGCGUGCGGGAUGACGGCCUUCGGGUUGUAAACCGCUUUCGCCUGUGACGAAGCGUGAGUGACGGUAAUGGGUAAAGAAGCACCGGCUAACUACGUG